rnacentral:rRNA from 1 species
UGAGGAAUAUUGGUCAAUGGGCGGGAGCCUGAACCAGCCAAGCCGCGUGAGGGAAGAAGGCCCUAUGGGUCGUAAACCUCUUUUGUCAGGGAACAAAAGCGAGUAUGUAUACUAGUCUGAGUGUACCUGAAGAAAAAGCAUCGGCUAACUCCGUGCCAGCAGCCGCGGUAAUACGGAGGAUGCGAGCGUUAUCCGGAUUUAUUGGGUUUAAAGGGUGCGUAGGCGGCGGUGCAAGUCAGCGGUAAAAGCCCGGGGCUCAACCCCGGCGAGCCGUUGAAACUGCAGUGCUAGAGAAGGCGAGAGGUACGCGGAAUGCGCAGUGUAGCGGUGAAAUGCUUAGAUAUUGCGCAGAACUCCGAUUGCGAAGGCAGCGUACUGGCGCCUGACUGACGCUGAGGCACGAAAGCGUGGGGAUCGAACAGGGUUAGAUACC